GACCUCCCCUCAACUUCACCCACGAAGCACGUUUCAGACCCAGUUGUCUAUAAGCUCGUCCGGGUGGAAGGUGAUGGGACACUAGUGCCUGCAACAGAUGAUGAAUUCAUGGAGGUUGUGGAUCUGAUCAAUGAUAACCCCAAUAAAAUGCAUAUUGUUGAAGAGCCUGGGCAGGCCGUGGAAUUUCCAUGGAGGAUUCUUCCUCUGGCAAAUCUCUGUCGGAGCUAUCAGGUUUUUCCAAGUUUGAGGAUGUGUAUGCUGAUGCAGAGAAUUUGGAAUCAUCC